GUCUCUGUAGCGCAAUGGAUAGCGCGUUGGAAUUCUAAUCCAAAGGUCAUGGGAUCAAAUCCCUCCUGGGAUG
rnacentral:tRNA from 1 species